AAAAAGAUACCUCUUGUCAUUCAAGCUUUCACCUCAUCCUUGUAUAAUAUAAAAGUACAACCAACGAAUCUAGUCGGCAUAUUACAAAUCUAAAGCAUGAAUAGGCCAAACCUGUAACCAAACGGGGGUAAAAUUGGUCAUCCAGUGGUUUAGUGUCUAUUCCUCCGUGGUCGAAAACUUCACCGAAUCAACGAAAGAGAUGAAGUUCAGUUUUCUAAGGCAAUUAUCUAUGUUUCAAGUCGGUGAGAUUAGCCGCAGGUUUGAGAAGAAGGGCUUCUCUUUGAAAUUUAAUAUCUUUUUUACUGUUCAUCCUAUAAUAUGAACUGUGAUAGUUAUGGGUUGGCUCUAGGGGGUGCGAGGGAUUUUUAUCUAUAUAUAUAAUGGUUUGAUUGGUUUCUAAUAUAUGAAUUGAUAAAGUCCAAGACUCUGGAAUCUUAGUUAUAUCAUAAUGGCCUACUCUUUGACAGAUCAAAUCUUAAAUGCUCAUGUUUUGUUUGAAGUUUUAUCAAAUUUGAAAAAAAUUUCCAACAAAAGAAAAAAGAGGGGGCAGGGGGGCUAAAGGAAAAAAAACAAAACAAAACAAUUUUUAAACCACAUCAACAGGCUUUUCAUUAUGAUAUGAGUUUUAUAUAUAAAACGAGGAAAAAAUGCCCUAGCACCCCCUAAACUUUUAUUUUAGCCAAUUUACUUGUUUAACUUCACACAUGUGCCAAAUCAAUGCCUCUGUUUGUCUACUGUUAAAUGAACUAACGACCUCCCCCAAUGCACGUUAAUAACAAAAUUACCAAAACCAAUUUACAGAGUAUUAUUUCCAUGGUUGUUGAAACUUAUGUAUCAGGUACCAUACUUCUCCAGUGUGGCACAAACUUGUUUGCUGGGGGCCACUUGGACUUCUUCAAUCUCUCUAUUGAUGCUGCAUACUCCUUGUAAUUAAACUUUUUUUUUUCUCUUGCCCUAUGAAGAUAUUUUCCAAUACAGUUCCCCUCCUCCUUUGUUUUGGUCAAUGAUUUUCGAUUGGUCUUCAAUUAGUCCAAUGGCUUAAACUUUGAUUGCAAAUUUUUCUUUGUUGUGAUAUUCUAAAUGUUUUUCAUUUGACCAAAGCAUUUAGUUCGUUAAUAUCAUCCAAGAAACCGAUGGAGAGAGAAACCUCAGUUUGAGAGAGAGAAUGGCAGCGGCUUAUUUGAGAUUGGUGACCUGUAUGUUCCAUAUUUUUACAGGAAAGUAACCAGAGUCAAAAUUACCAAAACCAAUUUACAGAGUAUUAUUUCCAUGGUUGUUGAAACUUAUGUAUCAGGUACCAUACUUCUCCAGUGUGGCAUAAACUUAUUUGCUGGGGGCCGCUUGGACUUCUUCAAUCUCUCUAUUGAUGCUGCAUACUCCUUGUAAUUAAACUUUUUUUUUCUCUUGCCCUAUGAAGAUAUUUUCCAAUACAGUUCCCCUCCUCCUUUGUUUUGGUCAAUGAUUUUCGAUUGGUCUUGAAUUAGUUCCAAUGGCUUAAGCUUUGAUUGCAAAUUUUACUUUGUUGUGAUAUUCUAAAUGUUUUUCAUUUGACCAAAGCAUUUAGUUCGUUAAUAUCAUCCAAGAAACCGAUGGAGAGAGAAACCUCAGUUUGAGAGAGAGAAUGGCGGCGGCUUAUUUGAGAUUGGUGACCUGUAUGUUCCAUAUUUUUACAGGAAAGUAACCAGAGUCUUGAUGAUUUUAUCAAACUUCAUAGUUUUGACUUCUCCACAAGUUUUGACAUGCAUCCAUCACACAAAAUCAGAACAUCUUUUUCUUUCUCUCAAAUGUAUUUGUUGUAGUUUCAGUGUUGUAGAAUUCACUACUGGUAGAGCAUUUGCUGACUGGUGCACAUAUAUCAUUGUUAUUUAAUUUAAUAAAUAAAAAUAUCUCAUGAAAAUUUGGUUUUUCUGUUUUGUUACUAAAUGGAUUGAAUUAACUCACUUAUAUGUAAUGCAUAAUUUAUUGGUUAUUAAAGAGGCUUCUUUUAUUCAUGCUGUAUACAAAUUACUUGGCUUGUAUGGCUAAUGUUUUAAUGGUGACUGUUUUUUGCUCUGUACUUUUACCUUUCAGAACCAGCCUAUUUUCAACAUAUAAACUUAGUUGGAAAUGUCCACACUGCAUCCCUUUAGAUUUUUCCUUUUAGUGUAAAUAACAAAUCUUAUUCUGUCUAUGAUAGACAGUAUUUCUCCAUGUGCAAUGUGGUAUUAAACUCUCAAGUCAUAUCUUCUAGCAGAGGUUUUUUGUGUAUAUGUCCCUAUAGAGUGAUUGUUCAAUUAUGAAGAACGAAUAUAUUAUAGAUGAAGUUAUUUUUAAGCUGUGUUGAGAAUUGAGGGGGAAAUUAUUCUUUUAAGGGAGACAACAAAUUUAUAGUGGCAGGAUGUGGCUACUGUUGAAAUUGUUACCAUCUCCUAUGUGUUAGGCUCUAUGAAACAAAAAUUAGAAAUGGUUUUACUUGCAGAUAAUAUAUAUAUAUAUAUAUAUAUAUAAAUUUUUUUCCACCCAUAGUGUAUUUGGUCUUUAUAUAUCUUAUCUCCAAUAGGAAAUUUUUAGUUUGGUGCACUUUCAAUGUGAUAUAUUUUUUCCUUUCAAUAAGCACCGACUUCAUGUUCAAAAAAUUGGGGUAAAUACCUUGUUGGUCUGUAUACUUUAUUCCAUGAGCAGUUUUAGUCCUUGAAGUUAAAGUGACCACUUUUAGUCCCUUCAAUUCAAGAAUGAUCACAUAUAGCAGCAUUUAGAAUGACACCCUUGAGGUUUUAGCUAGUUCUUUCUAAAAUGUGUUAUGGGAACUUCAUUAAGUUUGUCUUUCCUAAAGAAUGUUAUGACUCCCUUGUGGGGGUGAUUUUUCCUGAUUCCUUUUUUUUUUUCUUUUUUUUUUUGUGGAUAUUUACACAUUUUCCAGAACAUAGGUGCUGGGAAGUGUUUUAGAGUGUACUUUGUUCUGUAUGCUUCCCACGUCCUAGGUUGAGAAUUUUCUAAUAAAUAGUUUCCUAACAAAGAAAUUAGGUAUGGGAUAAUGAAAAAAUGGUAAUAAUUGCCUUUUUGGCAUUCUUUUCCCCUUUUAAGAUUUUCCUCUCUCUCUCUCUCUCUCUCUCUCUGUUUGUUACAACAUUUCACCAAUAAUGUCUUUGCUUGUUUAGAUACUAAAGAUUCUCUUCCAUCUUGCCAAGACAACCAUGGAGCAGGUAAAAGGUGAAAGGUACUUAAGAAUGAAUUGUACUUGCAGUAUGCUAACGAGUUCUCUUAUGAGAAGUUAAUGGCAUUGGAUACUAAGGUAGUGGCAGUUCAGGCAAUCGAAGUUGAAGGACUAGAUGAUCUUAGACUUCAUAUUGUUUGGAUUCAGUGGAGUGCCAUUGUUUAAUGAUAGGAAUGGAUAAUUGAUGCAUAGAAAAUGUCAUCUCAUGUGUUGAACAAAACAUGGCAGUCAAGCAAUGCAAUUUAUACUUUGUAAAUUGAUAGAAUGGUUUUUUGAUUGAACAUUGAUUGAGUUUUGAUGAUGAAUGUUCAUUUACUUAUUUUCUUUUGAUUA